GUAAACCAUUCACGGGAUGGGGGUGGGGGGCAUACAUAGUGAGGCAAAUAUUUGGGAGUGCAAAAUAUUUUGAGAUAGGGCAUAAAUUUUGGGAGGGGAGUGAAAAUUUGGGGCCAGAUAUUUUGGCGAUAUAAGGAGUUGGGAGGUUAUUUUGUGGCUGUAUAUGAAAUUGAUUCGUCCAUUGCAUGCAAUUCUCAUCUCCCUGCUAUAGGAACGGAUGUUGUGAAAAAUGAAAGGUUUCUGAAAGAUUUACAAGGGUAUUACGAGGUUUGGAAUGUUUGCGGUGUAGGGAGGAGGCUGAAUAGGCUGGGGUAAUUUUCCCUGGAGCAUCGGAGGCUGAUGGAUGACUUCAUAAUGGUUUAGAAAAUCAUGAGUGAUUUUCUAAGGACACGAUGAAUAACAAACUUGUUUUCCCCAAGGCAGGGUAGUUCAAACUCAGACACAGGCUCAAGUUGAAAUGAAAAAGAUUUAUAAGGAACUGAAGGGGCAGCUCUGUCAUGCAGAGGAUGGUGUGUGUAUUGAACAAGCUACCAGAGGGAAUGAUGGAGGCAGAUACAAAUGACAUUUAAAAGGCAUCUGGAUGGGAAUACGAACAGGAUAGAUUCGGAGGGACAUAGGCCAAGUGCUGGCCAAUAGGACAAGAUUAAUUUAGGAUAUCUGGUCGCCAUGGGCGAGUUAGAUCAAAGGGUCUGUUCCUGUGCUGUACAAAUAUGACUCUAUGACAAAUAUGGAGACAUGCUGAUACAUUUCCAGGCAGAAGCAAACCUGAGGUGAGAAUGCGUGUGAGAAACUAUCGAGAGAGCUGGGAACAAUGGAAUAAACACUCAGAAGAAUUUGAUUUUAAAGGAGACUUACGGAGGGUUCCAAGCUGAGAGGAAUUAUUUAGCAGGAAAUUCCAUUUCUUAAGCACAAUCCAAAGGAAUUGUCCAUGAUGGAGAAUCCACAGGUUUCCAAGUUAAACUCUCUCCUUGCACUGGUAUAAGGAUUCUGUGUCGGGAUGUGAUGAAAUAUCCUGCACUUGCCUGGAUUAGUGCAGCUACAACAAACACUCGAAGCUUGACACCAGCCUGUUUGAUUGACACCACAUCCACAAACAUUCAUUCCUUCCAACACCGACUAUCAAUAGCAGUAGUGUACCAUCUGCAUGAUGCACUGCAGAGACUCACCCAAGUUCUUCAGUCAGCACCUUCCAAACCCACAACCAUUUCCAUCUAGAAGUGCAGGUGCAGCAGAUACGUGGGAGCACCACCCAUUGCAAGUUUCCUUCCAACCCUCUCACCCUCUUGACUUGGAAAUAUAUUACGUCGUCUUUUGUGUUGCUGCAUCAAAAUCCUGGAAUUCCCUCCCUAACAACGUUGUGGGUCUAUGUACAGUCCAUGGGCUACAGCAAUUCAAGAAGGCAGCUCAGUGCUACGUUCUCAAAAAGCAGCUAGUGAUGGGUAAUAAAUGCUGGGCCCAGCCAGUGAUACUGACAUCCCACAAAUGAAUUAAAAAUACUAAUUUCAUAGUCUGGAAACAAUGGCAUCCUCCUGUGGGCUACACUGAGGUGUUGUAUUUGUUCAUAAUGUAAGGAAUUCAUGGAUUCAGUUAUUUUACUGCAUUUCUGAAAUUUGCUGCAUACCUAAACAACAAUGUGUUUGUGCAACAACUUAGGUUUUGCAGCAUGAAACCAACUGCACUGAAGUCAUAUGGAAUAGGUAGGUAAUCAUCCAGAUUAAAUCCAUGAAUGACAAAACGUAAGAAAUAUAAAACGUUGAUUGAA